rnacentral:lncRNA from 1 species
CGUUUUGGGGCCAUUUAGGGCCACUUUCAGGCCAUUUUGGGCCACUUUGGGGUCACACUGAGGACACUGGGGUACAACAGUGACAUUUUGGGGCCAUUUAGGGCCACAUGGGGCCCUUUGGGGCCACUUUGGGGUCACACUGAGGACACUGGUGUACAAAGGUGACAUUUUGGGGCCAUUUAGGGCCAAUCUGGGGCCAUUUGGGGCCACUUUGGGGUCACACUGAGGACACGGGGGUACAGAGGUGACAUUUUGGGGCAAUUUAGGGCCAUUUUAGGGCCAUUUUGAGGCCACUUUCAGGCCACUUGGGGCCACUGUGGGGUCACACUGAGGACACUGGGGCACAACAGUUACAUUUUGGGGUCAUUUAGGGCCAAUCUGGGGCCAUUUUGAUGCCACUUUUGGGCCAUUUGGGGCCACUUUGGGGUCACACUGAGGACACUGGGGUACAGAGGUGACAUUUUGGGGUCAUUUAGGGCCAAUCUGGGGCCAUUUGGGGUCACACGAGGACACUGGUGUACAAAGGUGACAUUUUGGGGUCAUUUAGGGCCAAUUGGGCCACUUUGGGGUCACACUGAGGACAUGGGGCACAACAGUGACAUUUUGGGGUCAUUUAGGGCUAUUUUCAGGUCAUUUGGGGCCAUUUUGAGGCCACUUUGGGGCCAUUUGGGGCCGUAUGGGGUCACACUGAGGACACCGGGGUACAGAGGUGUCAUUUAGGGCCAUUUUGGGGCAUUUUGGGGCGUUUUGGGGCCAUUUGGGGCCAUUUAGGGCGACUUUCAGGCCAUUUGGGGCCAC